GUACCCAGACGGAGGAUGGUGAACGUGGGUCCGUGGCCCUGAAAAGCGGAAGGUCGGCGGUUCGACCCCGCCCCUGCCCACCA
rnacentral:tRNA from 1 species